rnacentral:rRNA from 1 species
CACGUAGGGUGCGAGCGUUUGUCCGGAAUUAUUGGGCGUAAAGAGCUCGUAGGCGGUGUGUCGCGUCGGCCGUGAAAACCUGCAGCUUAACUGUGGGCUUGCGGUCGAUACGGGCAUCACUGGAGUUCGGCAGGGGAGACUGGAAUUCCUGGUGUAGCGGUGAAAUGCGCAGAUAUCAGGAGGAACACCGGUGGCGAAGGCGGGUCUCUGGGCAGUAACUGACGCUGGAGGAGCGAAAGCGUGGGGAGCGAACAGG